UUAAUUAAUAAAUUAAUUUUAAAAAAAUUUUUUGCAGUUUGUUCAAAGACAGCUGGAGAGAGACACGGGACCUGGUGCUCCAAUCCAUUGCUGCAGAACUUGACCGUCAAUCCUGGAGAAGUGGCCCAGGCCAGCUGGAGAUUAUCCACAGGUGCCGUGAUCACAUCGAGUCCAAAGGAAUGGUGCCAAGCGUCCAGAGUGACCAGGGGCAGGAACCAAGAAGAUGGUUCCCAAGAGUCACCUCUGCUUGGCCUUGUUUCCCACUGAAGCCCGGUUCAUGCCCUCUGCCCACACUGUGAAUGACGCCUAGCCGUUCAAGUCCUGGAAUUGAGGGGCGGGUUUCUUGGCUGGUGAAGAAACCGCUCUAUCUCCAUCUGCCUUGUUCUGUGAAGUUUGGGGGAGACUCUCCUGCACCCACAUGACCUCCUGAUUGAGAAGCACCCCUCCUGUUGGACCCCUUAACCAGAGCCCGGCCUGGGACGAGCCGCCAGCCUCCCACUUCCUCCAUCCCGGGGCCCUGUGAAGCCUAGAGCUCUGGAAGGGCUCACAGCAGCGGCCUCUGUGCCCCUCAGGAGAGAGAAGCUGGAAGGACCAAGAAUGUGCUGUUACAGACCAGACUUCCUGCCCCAGGUGCCCUCUGACCUUGGGUAAUUACAGCUUCCGGGAGUGGUUGGCUCCCCAUCUAGCAAAUGGAGAUAAUGAGGCCCUACAUCUCGGGGCUAUUGAAGGUUUAAUUGAUUCAUGGUGGCGACACGGUUGGGAAUCCUGGCCUGGAAUUCAGCGGAGGCUGCUCAUCGACAAGGUCAACAAGGAUUCUGUGUUGGUGUAUGAAACAUUCUGGAAGCCCUUGGACAGCGAUGUUGGAAAGGCAAAAGAAAACCUGUGACGUGUCCAUACCAGUCAAGAGGAAGCACUGACCCUUGCAGAAUGGGAGGAGUCCAGUGUAAGCAGCUUACCACCAAUUGGUUGGUUGGUCCCCACUUUAUGGGGAACUCAGCCCUGUUCCUGUUGCCAGUUGGUUGGACAUUCAGCAGUGGCGGUAGCUAGACCAGCCCUGACGUGAAGCCUGGGCUCCAAGAAGUGGAAUCUUUUCCCAAUUCUUCUGACACUAGGUGCCAACAGGAGGCCCAUGGGAGCUUAAGGAUGAGAAAGUCCUGAUACUGGCGAUUUUACCCGGGUACCAAACAAACGCUUAUUACUGGAAUUGUGUGCACUGUCAAGUCUUAAUGCCCUUGGAGUGAAAAAGACUAAGGCAAACUGAAAGUCACUGGAUGCCUUUAUUCUUGUUUUGAAGAAAAGAAAAAUGUAACGAUCUCAUCAGAAACCUCCAAAACAGAGUACCUUCUGUUCUCAUUGUGAAUGUUCUACGUUUGAGAGAAAGGUCAGGUCCUUCUUGUUUUUUGUGACAUCAGAAAGAAAUGUUUCUAAAUGCACUCACACUGGCAUUCAUUUCUACCUUUAGCUUUACACGGAGGAGCAGCCUUGUGGCUCCAACGUACAGGCAGCUCUUACAAGUCGUAUAUUUCCUUAUUCUAGAAAUAUUCCCCAGCAUUCUGUGAGUUGUGACGCUCACUUUUCCCUUUGCCCACCUCAUUUGGUUGUAGUGAGCUGCAGCCGUGGUGACAGGGAGUGUGGAAAUGCCCCAUGACGAUGUUGUACUUCUGAAAAUGUAAGGCACCCUUGUUUUUGUUGCCAUGGGCAGCCUUGGCCCAGGCUGAGUUUUCUCCCGUCAAUGAGCCUUUCCCCAGGAGAAGAAAAACAUUCUGGUUCCCUUUCCCCUUCUCCUGGUUCAUAUUUCAUAAUCUUUUCCCUCCUGCCUAUUGACACAGCAGGUUGGGAAAAAUUCUCUUGAUUGCAAUUCAUCAGUCAGGGGCUACAGCAGAGUCCGUGCCAUCCACUCUAGGGGUGGGGACAGGAAGCAGCAGCUGACCCACUUCUGGGAUUCCACUGCUGUGCCCACCCCCAUGCCCUACCUCCACAGUCUCAGGGUAAGGCCGCUGGUCAGCAACCUCUCUCAGUGCUUCUGGCUCACUGGCCUGGUGCUAGAGUGAGGUUUUGGUACAAGCCUAAUCCCCAGGAGUGGAAUGGGUUCUGCCCAGGAGAACUCUGCCUGCACCGUUCAGAGCCAGUGAAGAGGCCAAGAAGACAGAAGGUUUUGUUUUCUCUGACAGUCAAACUGCACCAAUGUGACAAAUGUGGCCUGUUCUCCUCCCUCUUUCCCCCCUCAUCCAGAUCCUACCUGGAUUGCUCCCUCUUGGAGGUCCCUUCCCCUAGGGCCGCUGUGCAAACACAGCAUCCCAGGUUGUUCGACAUUACACAAAGGUACUUAAGAGCUGGGUUCUCCUGCUCACUGCUCCUUGACUGUGAACACAGUGCAUUUGCUCCACGCGGAGAACAGCUCUAUGGCUGCCACAUGCUUUAAAGGAACCACUGUGCUCUGCAUUUUAAAAAUAAAGUCUGCCCCCCCCCAAAUAAAUAUCUUACUCACAAGGUUGUCCUCUCACAGAUGUCAUCAGGCAUUUAUGAAUUAGCUACUAAACACUACCAGAAAAGCACCCGGGAAAGAGAUGAAGUGUAGAUGAAGUGAAAUUAGCCAGAGGUGAGAACUCAAAUCCAACUGGUCUGAAGCAACUGAAUUUGUGCUAAAAGGCAAAUUCUGGUUACAGGUAAAGGCGCCUCCUCCCGGAAUUCCUGUUACCUUUCCCCCUUAAAAGCAAAUUCAUAUUUCUAGAGUUUAUAUUCUGAGAAAUUGGAAUUAGAAGAAGCCAGCAAGAGACAGUGAUCCUUGAGACUGUUCUCGAAGCAUGUUGUGGGCAAAGAAAAGCAGAUUUUAGAAUCAGUGCCACGAUAAUCUGUUUGUAUCUAAAUAUUGUAACAAAAAUUGCUAAUCUCGUCUAUAACUGAGUCUCUCUUCUCACACAUUCUCUUUUCUCUCAUGGUUUUUGAGCCAUUUUCCAGUUUCAGGCUUACACUGUUUUUAUUGUCUGGUCACAUUAUGCUGGAAGAUAAUGCCACACCUUUGCUGAAGCCUUUUGGAAAGUUUCACAGCAGAUAGACGGACACAGCCAUUUUCAAAGAGUGGUCUACAGAUUCCUGGAAGUCCACAAGACCUUUUCAGGGGAUUAGAAAGGUCAAAGCUAUUUUCUUUAAGAUACUAAGAUGUUAUUUGCCUUGCUGCUGUGUUGACAUUUGCACUGGUGUGAAAGCAAUGGUGGGCAAACCUGCUGGUGCCUUUGCACAAGUCAAGAUACCAGGCAGUAGUCAUUGUGUUCUUAAC